rnacentral:rRNA from 1 species
UACGUAGGGGGCAAGCGUUGUCCGGAAUCACUGGGCGUAAAGCGCGCGCAGGCGGUCAUCUACGUCUGGGGUGAAAGCCCGGAGCUCAACUUCGGAAUUGCCUCCGAUACUGCCGUGCUUGAGGACUGGAGAGGAGAUUGGAAUUCACAGUGGAGCAGUGAAAUGCGUAGAUAUUGUGAGGAACACUAGUGGCGAAGGCGAAUCUCUGGACAGUUCCUGACGCUGAGGCACGAAGGCCAGGGGAGCAAACGGG